AAAAGUUAGGGACUAGGGCUGCAACACGGAAGUGAUGGAAGAUACAAACAAGCCGUGAACUAAAAGAUGCCGGCUUUUCUUUUCUUCGGAUUUCAAUAUUCAGCAGCAGCUCGAUGGAGCAGUGAGGAAUGAGUCGUUUUUGUCAACGUAGUGGAGAGAAUGGAAAGCCUCGUUAGCCGCUUUGGAGCCCGACGGUGAACACCGACUCAGAUGCAGCUAACGCCGCUGCUGAUCUCCAGCCAGGGAACAGAAGAAGAGGAACAUGGCUGACAUGAUGGUGAACGAUGAGGAAAACCAUCAGAACAACAACUGGAUCUCCUUCAGGAGGAAGCAACUACCAGCACUGAGAUGGCAGAGCUCCAUGAAGAGCUGAGGCAAACAAAAGAAAAAUAAAUGCUGUUGUGCUCUCAAUGAA